UUCAAAGGGAAUGCUUCCAGAUUUCGCCCAUUCAGUAUGAUAUUGGCUGUGGGUUUUUCAUAUAUAGCUCUUCUUAUUUUGAGAUAUGUCCCACCAAUACCUAGUUCAUGGAGAGUUUUUAACAUGAGGGGAUGUUGAAUUUUAUCAAAGGCCUUUUCUGUGCCUAUUGAGAUAAUCAUGUGGUUUUUGUCAUUAGUUCUGUUUAUGUGAUGGAUUACAUUUAUUGAUUUGUGUAUGUUGGACCAGCCCUGCAUCUCACAGAUGAAGCUGACUUGAUCAUGAUGACUGCCUUUUCACUUAACUGUGUCCUCAUAUGGAAGAGAGGAGAAAAGAGGAGAGGAGGGGAGAGGCAAGUUCUCUUGUGUUUCUUCUUACAAAGCACAAAUGCCAUUAUGAGGGCCCCACCCUCAGGACCUCAUCUAAUCC
rnacentral:lncRNA from 1 species